GCUUACGGCCACACCACCCUGAGCACGCCCGAUCUCGUCCGAUCUCGGAAGCUAAGCAGGGUAGGGCCUGGUUAGUACUUGGAUGGGAGGACCGCCUGGGAAUACCAGGUGCUGUAAGCU
rnacentral:rRNA from 1 species